UACGGGGGGGGCAAGCGUUGUUCGGAAUUACUGGGCGUAAAGGGCUCGUAGGUGGCCAACUAAGUCGGACGUGAAAUCCCUCAGCUUAACUGGGGAACUGCGUCCGAUACUGGAUGGCUCGAGUUUGGGAGAGGGAUGCGGAAUUCCUGGUGUAGCGGUGAAAUGCGCAGAUAUCAGGAGGAACACCGGUGGCGAAGGCGGAUCUCUGGGCCUGUCCUGACGCUGAGGCGCGAAAGCUAGGGGAGCGAACAGG
rnacentral:rRNA from 1 species